GACAGAGGUGCCAAGCGUUAGGCGGAAUCACUGGGCUUAAAGCGUGUGUAGGCGGGUGCCUAAGUAACUUGUGAAAUCCCACGGCUCAACCGUGGAACUGCUGGGUAUACUGGGUGCCUUGGGUCAUCUAGGGGCUGCCGGAACAAAUGGUGGAGCGGUGAAAUGCGUAGAUAUCAUUUGGAACGCCAACGGCGAAAGCAGGCAGCUGGGGAUGCACCGACGCUGAGACACGAAAGCCAGGGGAGCGAACGGG
rnacentral:rRNA from 1 species